GGUACUUGCAAUCGCAAAGAAUUGCAGUCUCUACUUGGGUCACUGAACUUUGCCAUGCGCAUUAUACCUCAAGGCCGAGCUUUCAUCUCACGGCUCCUAACCAUGUUCCCACUGUUUAGACAUGAUGCACACAGGUUACCACUGGAUACCCAAGCCACGGCAGACCUACUUAUGUGGAGAAACUUUUUGACCACCUGGAAUGGGAAAAGCAUGUUUCUCCCUAAAUUGUCUGACUCCUC